UAUUGUUUUUCCUAUUUUAUUUUAGCCACCAAUGGUGUCUUUUUCCUUCAAUAAUUGGAAAGAUACAUGUCUAUAGUUAUACUAUUAUUGCUGACCUGGACUGAGAGUACAGAAAGGGAUAAGUGCACAGGGAAAAUUUUGUUUUAACUUGUUACCCUGUUUAGCUCCAACAAGCAUGUCCUUUAUCUUAGAAAACAAAAUUACUCAUGAAGCUUCUGUGUUAACACAUGGGGAAUGUGAACAGCUAAGAAAAAUGGCUCAUAUGACAGUAAAUGCUUCUAUAAACAUCUUUUGUGUUUUAAAAUAACUGGCCUAAGUGUCCAAAAUGGAUUUUGUAGCUAUAUAAUUAUCGUAACUCAUAUUCACAUCUUCUAUAUUUUUAUAAAAUAUAGAAAUUCUAUAGUAAUUCUACACAAUAAGAAAAAAAGUUCAAUUUAAGGAAUCAAUUACAUUUGAGUGUGUAAUUUAAUACUGUGAAUUAAAUCUGAAUGAAGGUUUGCUAAAUAGCAUCAGAUAUUUUGAGUAGAUUUUGUUUCCUGGUGUUAAAUCUGAUAUUUUAUAUAUGAAACUUAAUUCUAAUAUACAAAUACUUUGCAUAACAGAAGGCAUAACAAGCUAAAGUCUGUCUUCCCAGUUAUUUAUAUUGCCCUCAUCUGUAAUACUAUCUGAGCACUUUUCUGAAGGAAGUAUAUCUGUAUAGGAUAGAAUUCAAGGAGCGACGGAUGGUGGCUGUGAGGACUGAUACAGGUAGAAUGGAGAGGUGCAAUGCUUAACCAGCAGUGCUGGUUACACUGCAGAGUUGAUUACUAGUUUACCAACUCAGCAAUAUAUGACAGUAAGUUAACUAAAACUGGUUAUAUAUUUUCUUGUCAACUCUUCUCUCUGCCUAUUUAACUUCUCUCCUGUACAAGAAAACAAGCACUCUGUCAUCAAUCCUAAUAAAAACAAUUUAACCAAGAAACAGGUGUUUUCUCAACAUAUCUAGACUGAACUAAAAGUCAAUUCAGGCAGGCCUCUUACAUAUUAAACACCACUGCAUUCUAUCACGAUCAUCACCCUCACUCACCUUUGAAUCCUGUCCCAUACAGACACUCCAGAGAGUGACCCCAGAAGUUUACAUCAGUGCUGCUCCAUGGGCAGAAGGUGCUGUACAAUGUAACUGAGCUGCUCUGGCUUAGGGAAUGAGAGCCUUGAGGAUGUUGCAGGAGCUGUGGUGCCACAAGCUACCAGGAUGGAGUUUUCACUGUUGUAUUUUAUCUAAAAUUGUUUGGUCUUUUUUUUUUCUUUUUUAUUUAGAAUCAUAAUGUUAUUUUGAUGUGUUCAACAGUCACAAUAAUCUCUGGUAAAUGACAACCUGGCUCUCAUCCAAAGAAAAUUGUAACUGACAGUGUGCAGGCAUUUCACAGCCUUUUUCUGUGGGACUUGUAAAUUGUAAGUGUAAUCAGGAAAAGAUUUAAGAUAUGCAUAUUGUUAUGCAUAACAAUAUGCAUAUUAUGGUUGGAGGAAAAAUAAAAUGAACACUUGCUAAGUGCCAGGUUACAAUAGACACCGAUGGUUUGGAAGUCAAAUAAACAGUAGCUUUUAGUGAGUAACCAACUGAACCAAAUAAACCAGAUGUAAAACAAACCAGACAAUCCCUUACCCAUAAUAUUAAUAAUUACACUCGGGAGGCCACAAUGUGUUUUGGGUCUGUGGCCCAUUUUGCAGAACAGCCUCACUGUCACUGAAGCAUUUGAGGUGUGCAAAGCCAGAGCUGGCUGACGCUAUGGGUGCCCCAUUUGUGACUGACUGACCAGGCCACUGUUACAGCAAUCAUCUCUCCCUUACUGAAGUUGAUGAAGAUUUAGCCUGCAGCUACUAAUAAUUUCACAUCCUUCUGCCCUGCCAAAGGAUCGCCUGACCUGGCAGCUCUCUGGAAUCAUGCUUUAUCAUCAAGGAUUCUCUACCAAGCAAAAAUGAAUAUAAAAGUUACUAUAAAACACGUGUGCAGUACCACAAAUACCCUAGGAGCUUUGACAAACUCAUUUUCAUCCAAAGGAGCUAAUCCUGCUCCCCUUUAAGUUAUUAGGAGUCUUUCCAUUGACUUCAUUGGGAGCAGGAUAGUGCCAAGAGUUCUGAGACAAAAAUGGCAAAAGAUGGAAAAAAGAAAUGCAGCGAAAAAUUUAUUAAACUGACAGAACUUUUACAAAAAAAAAUUUUGAUUCAAUAUAAUGGAAGAUGUAAGGCAAGGAACUUAACAUAAACUUCCUUUUUUUUUUAAUUAAGCUGAGUGCAGAAGUCCUUUAAGUCGGCUACAAGGCAUAUAUACAGUAAUGGUACUAUGAACAUCUGUCAUUCUGAACUAAUAUUGGUCACUGGAAAAUGUUAGCAGCCCCAUCCCAGAACCUUCAAUGUACAGAACUCCCAUUAAAGUCCACAGGAGCUCUGUUUAUGGAAUGUUUGAAGGCUUCUGAGGGGAGGGAGGGCAUCUUUAUUGGUUUCAUUCUUUUAUACAAUGCAGGGAGAUGUAUAUUUUCAAAUUUAUGCAGAGGCUAAGUCUUGUGAUGCAGGGCUAAAAUGGGUCUCCACACCUUGCCAUGGGCAAGACAUGAUGCCCUUGUUAUGUAUGAUUUCUUAAUCUUUUUUUCCCCACAAAGUUUCAAAAUAAUUUAAGAAAAAGUCAGCUUGGCUUAGUAGUAAAGGGGAUUCAGGAGCAUAUAUUUAGCUUUCACAACAGAAAAUGUCAGAAGUGGCUUGGUCAGAGAUGAUGAACAAUUGAAAGCUGAAGCUAGGUCUUUUUUUCCUUUCUUAAAAGGAAAGGGGGAAAAUGUCUUCCCUUUCCUGUCACUGCCCCCCAGUGACAGCCCAAGUAUAAUUUUAAAUAUAAUGUUGCCCGUAUUUAAACUACUUCUAAUUCUCAGUUAAAAUAAAGUCCUCUUUGUAACAUUUAAAUAAUUUUUACUUUCAGCUCUUAAUACAAUGAAGGGGUGGCUCUGUGUGAAGGACUACAUGAAAGCUACCAUCAAUUUGGCAUGACCAGCUUCCAAGCUGCCAAUCUAAAACUAUUUCACACUAUUAGUCUGAUGUUAGAUUAUUCCAUUUUCAUUUUGUUACAGUAUUAGCCAUGCUAAGUUCAAGUAAUUUGUUUGGGGGACCUCUUGACAAACCCUAUGUGCUGCAUAAGUGAUGUUAUUAAUUCUAUCGGUAGUACUCUUUCCUGCGAGUCAGUAUGGUGUUGGGAGGUACUGUGCAGUGGGAGGUACCUUGUUUUGAGUGAGAUGGAAAACCAAGACCCAAAUAUCUUUGGCUAUUAAAAAUCUCAUGGGAUAUUUCAUAUGGAAAGAAGUGUUAAUCAUGGUUUGUUGGCCUGACCUCAGUUUGAGAAUAAUUCCCACACCUACACUUUCAUUUGGAUAUGCUAUUCUUGUUUAUUGCCUGUUCUGAACCAGCACGUAGUGUUGUUGGAUGCUUCAAAUUGUUGAAGAGUUCUGUCUAAGUGGAGGCUGUUUUUCUGUGAGCAAAUUAUUUCCAUGUUUUGUGAAAUGUUUCAGGAUCUUGUUGAACAAAGGUUUCACCCAUUUGCCUUGCCUCCCAUUUCUUUUGUGGUGAUUUUAUAGUACCAGUGAGUGUUCUAGGCACUCCACGGAAGAUAUUUAAAGAAAGCCAGGUCUCUUCUCUUCUCUGGAGAGCAUACAAUAUAAAUGAAAACUUAAGACAAGUUGGAAUAAGGUGUAGAGCAGUAGAGGCAAGAGAUAAGAAAAAAAUUACGUAAUUGAGGCCUACAUAUCUUGGCAGCGCAUGUGUUUUUUCUUGUGUGUGAAUUUGUGCAUUUAACAUAAAAAAAAAAUCUUUUUGCAGGCCAUCCUGCAGAAAUGGGUAUUUAGGAGUGAUUUAAAUGAUCUGACAGUGAUGGUUUGGUGAACAGAUAGAUGUUGGAAGGGCAUUCCUAGAAUAAGAGGCAGUGUGGAAUGAGGCAUAUGAGAAAAUAUGAAAGGUAUCAAGGAUAUGAAUCUCUCUGCCUACAUAACUUGAUGGAACGAUUGGACCCUAAUUAGAGUUAUCUGUAAGGUUAUCAUUGUUAGUAGUAGUGUACAAUUAAUGUACAUGGCACUUUACAAGAUGAAGGACAAGAUCUGCUCUCUAACACAAAGAGUUUAAACUUGAAUACAGACAAGAUGCAACAAAACAAAAAUGGGUGUAGAGAUCAACUGAUUUUGGGUGGGGAGAGCAACAUAGGAAGUAUUCAGGAACAAUGUGGGUUUUAAGAAUGACUUCAAAGAAGGAGCGAGAGAGAGAGAGGAUACGUGGGAAACAAGCAGUGACUGUUCCAAAUGUAGUUGGCAACAUGAUACAAGGAGCAAAGACAAACUGGAAAAGGAGAUGAGCACAACAGUAAGGAGAGAGAGGAUAUUGAGGAGCUUAGGGAGUGAGAGAGGUAAUGCAAGGCAAUGAGAACAGAGAAGUAGAUAGGGAUAAGUUUAUGUAGGGCCUUGAAUGUGAAGACAAGGAUGUUGAAUUUGAAGACAGGAAAUUAUUUAGGGCCUGGUAAGAGAUUCAUAUGGGAGAGGAAGAAAGGAUGAGAGGCAGGUGAUUUUAGCAAUGAUAUUUUGGGUAGCUAGGAGAGCUGACUAUUGUGCAAUCACCAGCAUUAUAUGUUUCUGGAAUGUGAAACAUUUUAGCUAAAGGAUUGAAUAGGACUGUUCAAUGUAACCUUGCUGUGUGUAUUAUGGCUACAGCUAGGCCAUCUAAAACAUAACUAUAAUUAAUUACAAAAAAGAAUGUACACUACUUUGAAGCUAAUUUUUAUCCUGAAAGAAUGUUAAACAUUGUACAAAGAUAUUUUUCUUCACUGCUAUAAAAAAAUUAAUACUGAUUCAUUGUUUCUUCUUUAGUUAAAUAUUAUUACACUAUACUUUGUUCCUCCAUAUUUUUCUUUAAUUUCCUCUCUUUUUUCCUUUCAAGCCAAUGACCAUUAUUGUAAUGUCACUUCACUACAUGUUUUUAAUAUUUAUUGCUAUCUUGAAGAAGGUCACGUUUUUAAACAUAAUAAAAGAGAUUUAACUGUGUUCCACAGCCUAAAAUUUAAAUUCCUACUACCAGUUAAACAAGAAAAAAAAAAUUCUUACAGCAAUUCAUACCUAACAAAGAACAGUGCGAUCUCAAAAAUAUAUGUUGUUAAGACUGUUUCUUUGGUCUAAGAGAGUUAAUACCAAGGCUUGUAAGAAGUAAUGAAAUACAUUGCUCCUUAUUAUGAACAGGAAUUAGAAUGGUAUUCACAACAAAGCUUUAAUUAGCUUUGUGGUUGUGGAUAAUCUUUCACUCAUGUAUGUUAGUUAAGGAGAUAUAAAUACUAGUCACUUAAUCUGAGCCAGCCUUAGUGCUGCUGCUUAGAUCAGGAAUAACCUUAGCACGUAGAGCUCUAUGCCAGUACAUCUCAGGCUCAAUCCUGCAAACUGCUGAGCACCCUUAACUCCCAUUGGAGAUGAUGAGAGUUGUCAAUGCUUAGCGUUUCACAGGAAGUUCACAGCAAUGUACAGAAUUGAGUCCUAGUUAAGGGUCUUAUCUUGCAAUCCUUAUCCCUUCAAGUAAUCUUUACUGCAAUCAAUGGGACUGCUCAUGUGACUAAGGAUUACAGGUGAUAAAAUUCCUAAUUCUCAUCAAAAUUUACAAAUCUAAGAUGUGGAACCACCAAAAAACAAGUAGGUACACUGGUACAGUGAAAGGAAAAAAUAACAUGUGAGAAGAAGCACAAUGAAAAAGCCAUGAAGGAAAAGACACGCAGCAGUCACCUCAACCAUAAGACUUUUGCCUAUUCUCUUACCUGAAGCAAUGAAUCUGAGGGGGGGGGGGGAGCGUAAAUAAUAUCAGAAGAAGUAGUAGAAAUAGCAACAUUAUUGUGGAUCAUGUAUGUGCUUUUUAGGAUUUACUUGCCAAUUGUUUUCUGACCCCCGGGGAUCGAACAGAGACUCAGAGUCCACAACUUUAAUAAGUAACAAUCCACAAACGUAAAUUGAUAAACAAGCAUAGUCUUUAUCACAAAGGGGUAGCUGUAGCCAAUCACCCUGGCUAAAUCACACAAUGAUCCAGCUUUCCUUGUCAGGGAAAGAAGCCACCAAGCCAAUUUUAAUCAUCUGGGCCACCCAGAGCAGGACCUUAGCCUUAGACCACAAGCCAAAAUCUCUUGCUUCAUCAAGAAGGAAUUAGAGUUGCCAUUAGGCCAAACCAUGGCAAUCUCUACUGGUUGAUACCACUAUUGCAUGAUGAAGCUUGAAAAAUAACUCAGAAUAGAAUCCAGAUCACCAGAGUUCCUGUUUAGUGCACUAUCGACUUGGCCACACUUCCUCCCUAGUAGUGAUAUUUGUUGAAUUAAGCUUAUACACCCAGAGCAUAAUACACCCAGAUAGUGACACUUCCUGUAGGGAGAGAUUUAGAAAAUUCUUAAAAAAAAACAAAACAAAACUGAAAGGCCCUCGCAAAUUAAACUUCUACUUUGUAAUGGAGCUGCACCCCAAUGAAUUGUGAGCAGCACUCUCUUUUGUUUGACACACCAAACUAGCCUUAGCUUGAAAUCUAAUCUUACAUUUAGCAGGUUUUACAUCAGGAGAGGAGGUGCUUCUAUCUGUGUGCACACAGCUCAUAUUCAACCUUUUGUUUUGUUUUGUUAGAACUACAGAGCAUCCUAUCCUUGUCUGGUAAAAUGUUCAUUUAAAAAAAAAAAGAGCACUCUUCAAAUAGCACAUCAAACAAGUGAUAUGGCUGAAAUGCCCCAUCAGAAAGCAAUAUAUUCACUACACAACUGCUUUCUCAAACUCAGCUUGCAUUAUAAAAUAUUGUAUUCCAGUGCUAACAUCAAUACUUGGCCUGACAAUCUCAAGUUUUUAACCAAUAUGUUUUCUAAGCCUUCAUACAAACCUAAUCACUCUAAACAGAGGCCACCAGGCAGUGUAAGCACCAACAGCCACACUGGCAAUUUACAAGGCCAUACUUAAAUUAUGUAGGAUUUUAAUUGUUGAUAAAUGCAUUUGUUUAUUUAUAAGGCACUCUUUACAAAACACAGACAAAGUAUGCUUUGAGGGCUGCAGGAGAAGUUUCUAUGGGAAGAUGGGCACUGCUUUCUCACAAGGGUUUUUAAUUUGUUGGUGACUCAGUUGUGUGCUGUCUUAUGUGACUAGACAAGAUGGUCAGAGAGACAAGGUGGGUGAGGUAAUAUCUUUUAUUAGACCAACUUCUGUUAGUGAGAAAGAGAGACAAGCUUUGGAACUACACAGAGCUCUUCUUCAGGUCUGGGAAAGGUAGGGCUUCACAGCACAAUGCAAGGUGUAGUUAGCACAUAUGUUAAAGGGUCAUUCAAGGUAGAGUUGCUCGUUAACACCUCUGCAGUCAUGGGACUAAAAGAGGGGGUUAGGGGAUUACAGAUUGUUUUAAUAAGCCAUAAAUCCAGUGUCUGUUCAGUUCAUGAUUUUUUAGUGUCUAGUAGAGCUCACAGGCUUGUCUUUUGAAAGUGUUGUGCGGGUUUCCUUUGAAGAUGAGGACUAAUAGGUCAGCUAUAGAAUGAUCACUUUGUGAAAAGUGUUCACCCACAGGUGAUAAGGUGUUUUUGUCUUUUAUCAUUUUCCUGUGUGAGUUUAAAAAGGGCUAUAACUACACUGCAUAUGCACACUGUGAUGUAAGUUGUUCUCUUGUUCCCUUGCAUGGAUUACCCACAUUGUGGGUAGCAGCCCUGGUGGGAGAGCAGCCUCCUUGAGGUUGCUACACCCACUCCAAUACAAAAGGGCAAGGAGUGGAUGGAGCUUUGGCUCAGCCCUUCCACCUCCACUGCACCCCCAGCACAGAUGAGGAAGUAAGCUGCACCAGGAGAGUAAAAAUCUGGAUGUCCUCAGGUCUCAGAAAUGAGCAGAAAGAGAAGAAAAAGCUGCAAGGGCAGAAAAAGCUCAGAUGCCAGAGAAUAUGAACAUUUGCCAGCCAUUUGUAAAUGCCAGCAAAAUGUAAAAGGCCUUCAAAAUAAAGCAGAUGAGGACCUAGUGGAAACUAACUUCCCUGAGCCAGUGGACGUGGAGAGGUCCGAAGAAAACAGGAAAGAUCACUCUUGUACACCAAUGACUGGGCAACAGAAUAACUCAGGUGCAUGUGAAGAUAAAGAACAAGAAAAUACAGAUGACAGUGAAAAAGAAGGAGGGAAGGAAAAAGAUUGCCCUCCACCAGCAUUCUCUCAUCAGCAGGAAGAGGUCCUAGCAGUGGUAACCUUCAAUGAAUCAGAAGCCUUAUCAACAGGAAAAAUUACACUGAAGCACAACCCAAGCUCUGCAGAGCCCUUUGAUUUGGCUAGUGAAGUAAUUACUGCAGAAUUAAAAUGUGGUGGUUUUAAUAUGAAUGUAGAAAUUAAGAAGGGCUUAUUUGAUUCUGGAACAAGCAUUGUAAUUGAGAAAAGGAAAUGUCCAAAGAACAGAAAGUGCUAUCGUGACAAGAAAUAUCAGAAAAGCCACUACUCUAAGUGCCGUAAGUGUCAGGAUCCAUCAACUGACCAUUCUAUAGAUGACAAUGAGAGUUACAAGGCAUCUUCUAAACACAAAAUACAAAUUGCCAGCAACAAGAAUACCUCACUGAAAGUAAGCAUCGUAGGAAAGGAAAUUAAAGUGAAAUACAACAAUAGAAAGCAGUAUCCAAUAAUUCAUAUCGAACCAGGGGAACACACACAGUCACGGGGCAAAACUUGCAGCAGGAAAUAUGGAAACACUUAUUCCAAUGAUACAGACUAUUCUGUAACAGAGGUAUCUUGCAGCACUGAUUAUGAGUCAGAUUUUAGCCUUCAUGAAAAGGAAGAGUCAUUUACAAACUAUACAUGUCCAGACUGGUAUCUACUUCUUCCUCCACCUGAAGAGUUUGCUGACAGCAAAGAAAUAUGUUUAGAUACCACUACAGAGGUUGCAUCCUUACUCCCAAUUAGUGAUAGAAAAGAAUCUGACACCUUGCCUGCAGUCUUACCAGCUUGGGAGGAAGGAAAUCAUAUCUGUAAACAGAAGGAACCUGGGACUGAAGAUCUUGCCAGUGAAAAGGAAGAUUUCUGUAAAGACAAGAUAAUUUUCUCAGAAUUUAGUUAUAAUGGAGGUUGUCAUUUAGAUACUAGUGGUUCAAAUGAAAAAAGCUUUGGUAAGGAACCUAUUGAUGAAACCAAUGAAGCAGGGCAAAUAAGAAACAACAGUCUCAUUGACAUAAGGAAUACUAUGAUAGCUUCACACCUGGAGCCAAAAGCAGUUAGAAGAAAGUCUUUUCCAGAUGCCACCAUUGAUGUAUUGUCACCAGUUCACCACAGAAGAGAUUCUGGCUUUUAUUCAUUGCCAUCUUUAUCCUUAAAAGUACUGCCCAAGCAAGCCAAAGCAGUAGAUGUUUACAGCAAGAAUACUCAGACUCAUACCAGCUGUACAGAACUUUGUAAGUGUUCCAGUCUCACAUCAUUCAGCAGUCUGAGAGCUCUCAAAUCUUAUCAGUAUGCCUUCACCUCUUACAAUCAUGACAUGACCAUUUACCAUUCUGAGCUGGAAGGAAGUAUAGAUGAUGCUUUCUUCUUGACUCACUAUGAAGACUAUAUAGGGGACUGUAAAGAAAUGGAAGAGACAUUAGUGGAAACAUUUCAUUCCAGCAUCAAUUCAAGUGUAGAACAGAAACUGGAGCAUAGAUACUCAGAGCCUCUGCAGAACCUUGCUGUAUGUGAUGAACACACUGAGUUUACAGAAAGCGGUUUUGAUGAGGAGACACUAGAGAGUGAUCAUCACUUUGCUGUACGAGGCCAUGUUGAAGUACAGAAUAAAGCCCUGAUAUUUCAAGUCCCUUCUCCUUCCAGAAGCCCUUCAAAUGACCAUUUUAGUGACAAAAGCAUAGCUAAUACAGUAGCCAUAGACUGUGUCCAAAGCCAACAUUCAGCUUUACAGCCAAGGAAGUAUGUUCAUCCAGCUACUACAGAGCCUGAGGUAACAAUAAAGAAACGGAAAGGAUCAGUGAUGACUGUAAUAACUGGAGAGCGAGAACGAAGGCUUAUCAUUCAAGGCGACAGUAAGGGGAGAGCUGAUUCCUUUGGCUCUGGGAUAAAAAAUGAGCCUAAGCUACCCUGCAGCAUACGAGAAAAAUCAUUUAUGUCCCCUUUGUUGGAUGCUGAGGAGUCAGAUAUAGAUAAUGAAUUACAGAGCUUUUCUGAGAUCCGGGACAUAUCUGGGAAUAUUCCUGAUGAAGCCAAUUUCCAUGAUGAUUCCACACAUAUUACUUCAAUGUCCAGCUCCUCAAUGCAUCCUGAAGAUAAGCAAGUUUUCACUGAGGGUAAAUUUACCAAAGAAACAAAAGAGAACCUGUGCAGUGAACAAGAGAUAACAAGCCAAUUAUCUGAUCAUUUAAGAAUAGAGUCUGUAGCAUGUCAGAUAGAGCAGUUAGUUAAAUCCAGCUCUGAAGAAACUGAGAAAAAAUGUGAGACAAAGGAUUGUUGCCAGAACACAGACACACCAAUGUCACCAAGAAAGCAGAUUAGUCAAAAAGAUUUGAAGUCAGAAGUGAAUAAGACCAUAAAGCUACCCGGUGAACCAGUGUUAAAAGAUACAAGAGCCAGUGAUGGCUCCCAGGAAGAAGCAAUAGACCGAUGGGCCAGGCAACGGAAGCAAUUCAAAGACAGUAAAAAGUGCAGUUCAACUGGCGGGAGCUCCAUAACCAGCACAAUCACUGAGAUAUCAAUAAACUCAGAGGAAGCCCGUUCAGUGGAUCUGAGUCUCCGUAGUGAAAAUGAGGAGAGAGGUUUCUACACAGAGAACUUUCAUUCAGCUUCGUGGGUUUUCAGAGGGGAUGACAGCAGUCCGGAUAAUAGCCCUAGAUGUCUCAGCAAAAGGCCUAGGCCAGUAGCAGUUCGUGAACGAACAGUGAGGAUCGCAAAAGGAACUGGUGAUUACCCCUGGGGAUUCCGAAUCCAGUUCUCAAAGCCCAUCCUUGUGACUGAAGUGGAUACUAACAGUGCGGCUGAGGAAGCAGGGCUUCAGGUGGGGGAUAUUGUGUUGGCUGUCAAUGGAACCGACGUCACCAGCAUGCCACAUUCACAAGCUGCAAAUCUGGCAAGAAAGGGCCCUGAUAUCUUGACCCUCUUGGUUGGAUCAGACAUUAGCCGCUGCCCCAACACUCCCAGGCCAACAUGUCGAGGAUAUUUGCACAAGCGAACUCACUCAGGGAUACUGAAGGGCUGGAGGAAGAGAUGGUUUGUGCUGAAACAUGAUGGCUGCCUUCACUACUACAAACACAAGAAGAAUCAUGUAUGGGUAGAUGUCACCCUGCACAACACAAGCCUUCCACCCCUCGCUAUCAAAAACCCAGAGUGUCUGGGUCUCCUCCACCAACUGGAUAAAACCAGGGACGUGUGGACUCAGCACUACUGCAUUCUGAAGGAUGGCUGUUUGUAUUUUUAUGCCGGCAUUCGCUCCACACAUGCCAUAGGUGGGAUUUACCUGCAAGGUUACACUGUAAGCGAACAGUCACUUGGCUCCAGGAGAUCUGUAAUUGAAAUGAAACCCCCAUCCGAAGAGUUUCAAACCUUCUACCUAUGUGCAGAGAAUGUAAAUGAAAACAAACGAUGGAUUACUGCUUUGAAAACCUCAAUUAAUAAAUGGGUAACCCUACACCAGGCCAUUCAAGACUUCAUGAACCGACCCCUGGAAGAGACAAAGAUGUGAAAAAAAAAUCUAGUUUUUCUUCAUACUUUUCUUUAUAAUACAUUUCAAGACAAUAUCUCCCACACAGAUGAUAUUUUAGCAGCAGGUGAACUUUAGCAGUGCACCUAAGAGCCCCAGUCAUGGACCAGGACCCCAUUGGCGCUGCAUAGACACAGAACAAACAGACUGUGAGCUCUUUGGAGUGCAGGCUAAGACAAGAGACAACAGAUGGAUACAGACUGAAGGGGGAGACAAGGAAACAAUGAACCAGUACUGGUUAACAUGAUAGGCAGUGGUCUCAGCACACCAGUGGCAUAACCACUGUCAAGUGUUUGGUAGGCAUCACUGAAAAGGAGAAUUUUAAAGAGGGUUCUGAAGGAUAAUGAGGUCACUUAGCGGACAUUUAUGGGGCGUCCCUCCCAACUGUGAGGGAAAGCAUGAGAGAAAGCACAAUGGUGCUUGUUUGAAAAUUUAAAAAGUUGGUAAUGGAAGCUGGCAUCAUGGGCCGAUCAGAGGCAAGAUUCAGCCUCUCAAUACUGAAUGAGAGGUGAUAGAUAGCGUGAGGAUAGGCUGUGAAGGGCCUUUAAAAUGAAGACAAAUGGCUUAUGUUUUGGUGCAACAGAGAAGGGGGAGCUGGGAAAAACAGUGGAAGGGAUGCAGACAGAGGAGUGAUGUAGUCAAAGUUAAGGGCUAGGAAAGUGAUAAUUGCAGCUGUAGGCUGAAUGGAUAUGAGCAGGCUAAGACUGCAUUAAUCAAGGCCCGAGUAAAGGAUGUUGCAUUUACCAAGGUGCAAGAUGAUGAAAGCCUGGAUGAGAGUUUUAGCUAGGGUGACCAAAUGUCCCAUUUUAAUAGGGACAGUCCCAUUUUGGGGGACUUUUUCUUAUAUAGCAGCCUAUUACCCUCCACCCCCAUUCCAUUUUUUCACAAUUGCUAUCUAGUCACCCUAGUUUUAGCUGUGCAGAGAGACAGGAAAGGCCAUAAUACAGAGAUGUUAUGCAAAAAGAAUCUGCUAGAUUUUAUCAUAGUCCAGAUGUAAGGACCUAUAGAGAAGUCUGAGUCAAUCACUCUUCCAGUAUAUAGAACUAGCCAAUUAAUUUAUGAUUUUUCACAUGAUUUUACUAAGUUCUUUAUAGUUAUUCACUCAAUUACCUCUAAUUUUAGACAGGAGCCUUGCAAUUUGCAGCUGUUGUAAAAACAGAAGUGUAAGUGUGAAUUGGAUGUGGGUACACACCUAUACUGUUACAAUCACUUAACUGAAAGAAGAACAGUUGCAAAGUUACCAACUCUUGAGAUUUCAUUGCGAGUCUUGUGAUAUUUGGUCUUUUUCUCAGAGGCUUUAGACCUUGGGGGUCAUCUGAAUACAUCAGUAGCUCAGCUUUAAUUUUAAAGCAAAAGUAAGUUUCUAGCCCAUAUGAUGGUGGAUAAUAAAUUUAAAAACAUGAAGCCUAGACAUGGCAAAGCCAGAAGUGACAAAAGCUCCGAAUGUUUUGCUUUAAAAUAAUGAUUUUUGGGUGGAUCUGGCUCCUGCUAUUUGAAUGCUUGAGGUAGCUAUAUUGCAGUUCACCCAGGAAGGAAAGUUGUUAAACAUUCCAAAUGGGUUGCUACAAUGGUUUGAACAGUUGAAUACAGAAAUCACCAUGUUUAAUGAAAUAUUACAGGCAAUCCGCUAUAUGAUCCAUUUUCUUGCACCAAUCUUUUGUACCAUCCACUGCUCAUGCUAACAAAUUCUUCCACAGAGCAUAGUUUGUAUAAAAGUAAAUGAUUCAAGUUUUUUUGAAAACAAAUGAACUCUGGGGAAAUGGUCAUGUCUCGUGUCUAGUGAUAAUGUUGUACUCCUUUGAUGCACAGCCAUGAAAUUUAUAUUUCUGUUACAAUGUUUAGAGCAGGUAAUGGAGAGAUCAUAAAUUAUUCCUUUUUGUUAUUGUUUUCUACAUGGAAAUCAAAAUAGCACUUCUAGGCACUACCUUACUUGGGUCAGUGCAGCUGGCUUGAGACUGGCAAAUAUUUCCUGAGAACUAGCUUUGAGAUCCAAAUAACAGAUGUUGAGAUCUAGCAAGUAGAGAAGCCGCAAUGAAAAAUCAUGAAGGAAAAAAUUGCACCAUAUUAAUAAGCAGAAAAACUAAACAGAAAUUCAAAAACAAUUGCAAAAAAAAUUGAUACAAUGGGGUAAAUGUGAGGCGACAGGACUGGGAGGUCCUCACAGUCCUGAUCCAGCAACGCACUUAUGCCUAGUUUGGUCACAGUUCUUCCUUCAGCCCUUACUCAGGUUGACUACUCCCUUCUUGUGUAAAUACUGCCACUGAAGUGAUUCACUGGUGGAAGUGAUGUCAAUCAGAUUUCGUGCUUCUAUAAACCACUUACAUCACAUAUGAAAGUAAUAAUGCUAGGACACAUGGCACAGAGAAUUGAUAUAAAGGUCAUAAGACAUAGGGCUCAAUGACUUCAAUACAAAUACUUCCAUGAGUAUGUGCUACUCAGUCUGAGUGAGGGUCAUAGAAUUGGGCCUUUUCUCUUAUGACCUUACCAGACUUUGCCCCCGAAUAGGUGCCUUACAAAUUAGAUAUAUUUCUUUUCCUCCACACUUGACAUCAUUUCUGAAGCAUACUAGUGUUACGUUAAUAUGUUUUUGAUUUAUUUUCACAUACAUUCUACUGCAAAUAUAUCAGAACUCAAAAAAUAGUCUCACUCAGCAUAAGUCAAUGGAGUUACACUGGUAUAAAACCUGUGUAAGUGAAAGAAAAAAAUCUGUCUCACUGUUUUUUAUUGUUGAGAUUUACACUUCCAUGCUGUAGAAUCAAGACUAGAUUCUUAGCUGGUGUAAAUAAGUAUAGCUUCAGGAUCUGGCUUUUUAUAUUUUGUGAUCCUGAUGCUUCCAAAUGGAAGCAAAAUCAAUAACAAAUUGAAGGGAAAAGAAUCACCAUUUCAUUUUUCUUCAAAUGAUCAUAAAUACAAAUCAUCUGUGAAAAAAUAUGUCACUGCUUUUAAGAGUAACAAGCCAGCUCUUGGCUAUAGCCAGAUUCUACAGUGCACAAAGAUGGCUUGUCACAUUUCUCUGAGCCAGAGCUGGUUCUAGCCCAGCACUAAUGCCUACAUAGAUCACAGCAGCCUGGGAGUUGUUCUAAUUUAUGUCAAGUGGCUAAUGGAAGCAUUGCCUGAGUGGCAAUUUGCCAGCCAGGAAUUGUCAUAGAGCAAUGCACACGCUCUCCCAUUCCUAACACUGCUGGGGACAAUGGUAUUUGGAUCGAGAGGGCUGGCAUAGGAAGGAGCAACCUAGGCCUACUGGUGACCCCAUGCCAGAGAGGUCAUAAUCAGUGGGUCAGGGUCAUACUUAGCUGUCAUCAAUGUGGCUGAUUUUAUUUUCAUUUUUUAAAGUAUUCACAACACUCUUAUCUGAUAUAUAUUUUGUUUGAGUGGUUUCUCAUGGGACUUUUUCCCAGUCCCCUUGCAGAUGUCCAAAAGGAAUUUUUCUGAAUAAAUGUUCCCUCACACACAAAUUUCUCAAUCUGACUUUUCACCUUCUUCUGGAGUUGUAAUUACAUGUGUAAUCUAAUUCUAAUGGGACAACUGUAAUUAUAAAUAGUAUAUAAUUCUGCGUUCAUACAUUUGAGUCAGCUUAAUUAUGAGUUCCUUUGGUCACUAAAAUGCAUUGAUGGUGCUUGUAAAGUUGUAUUUAUUACAUUUUUCUCUCAAGAUUUUUUCCCAGAUACCUGAAGGGGAGAUUAAGGAUUUAUCAAUGUUUCUCUCUGGCUGUAGAGGUUGAUUUUGGUUUGUUUUGCUAUUUUUUUUAAAUAUGCCUCAUCAUUUUAAUUAUAUUUGAAAAGUUGGGGGAGGUUGAAAAAAAUCAAUUUAUAUUAUUGCAAGUGUUUAUUAUGUGUUUUCUGCAUUAGUUUGACAUUAUUGCAGCUUGCUCACUAAUACAAAUUAACACAUAAUUAGAAGCAUGGGAUUUAUCAGACCUUUCAUUCAUCAAGUCCAGAAUCCUGCUUGUGUUGCUUCAGAGAAAGGGGGAGGGGGGAAUUGUAUCCUGUCAAUUGUGCACUGCUUCACACAUUAAAAAAACCCAAAACAAACAAACAAAAAAUCUCUCACCCUUGUAGCAAUCAUCUUAAACCUUGAAUCAUGAGAUAUGAUUCCCUUAAUUUAGCAUACAUAGAACUGUAGCAUAAAAUGUUAGUCAUUAUCAUAAAGUUAGCCAAUCUUUUUAGAAAUCCAGCUAAAGUAGUUAACUCUAUAAUCUCCUGUGGCAGUGAAGUCCACAGAUUGCAUGUUGUUGGAGGAAGUAUUUCUGUUUAGAUUUUCUAUCUUUAAUGGCCAUUUAUUUAAUCAAAAGACCACACUUCUUGAGUUAGGAAGACAAAAUAACAUAGGGAGGGCCUAGUAACUUUAGUCUCCCCUUCAGAAUCCUGAAUACUUCAGUUUAGUCCCCUCUGAGUCUUCUCCUUUCCCUGCUAAAUAGUCCUAGUUGUUAUGUCUCAUCAUACUGUUACCCUUUUUUGACCCAAGUAGCUAGUCAAAGUUCAGGGCCUUGGGGAUGUUCCAGCUGGAAAGAGAAAUUGAUGGAGCCUGGUAUUUUCUUUGAUGCACUCUUGUUAAUUUACAAAGAAUGUACAAAGUCCUGCUUCUCUGAACACAGGAGGAACUAAGAACCAGGGAUAGCUUCUUUGCCUAGCAUCACACUCAAAAUAUUCCCUUGUGCCUUCACCCAGCAUACAGGCGCUUUUGUGGCUUUCUUCAGGCUGUCUCUAUUGCUCUUUGUGUCUGUGUUCUGCCUUCUCUCUCUCUCUCUCACACCUCCACAAACUUUUCUAAAACAAUACUCAGACCAAAAAAAACCCCAAACAACCCUCUACCCACACAAUCAAAAAUAUCUGUGUGGGUUCACAUACUCCUUUUGUCUAAGGUGGGGGCUUGCGAUUAACUCAACCUUACAGUUAUGUGAAGCGUACAUUCACACCAGACACCCAUCAAUCUCCAAAAGUUUUUAACUCAAUCCAUCAAGUUUAAACCAGCUCAUAACACAUUAACUUUCCCAUAUACCUAAGCCAUCAUCAUUGCCUUCCUCUGGACCUUUUCAGCAUUCACUACACUUUUCCUAAUGCAGGGCGGUUUCAUCACUAGAGAGAGUGGUCCAAAUGAGGGCAGACACUUGUUCAAUAUAGGAAACAUUAUGCUCAUGCCUGCUCUUGAGCAGUACUUGCAAUAUGUAAUAUUUUAGUACUGUGUGAUUUACAGUGUGCAAAGUGACUGAAGCCUUAGAUAGGCACUAAUAGAAGUUGAAAUGAAUAAAUUAGCCACCCCUCCUCCCAUAUCUUGCUUUUCUGUUACAUGAUGUAUUACUCAUGAACCAAUUCUCUAAUUUGGUGAUAAAUAAGUGAAACUUGUACUAAUAAACUUGUUAGUGGUUGUCAACCAUACAUUUGGAAUUAAAAGCUUCAUAAAUAGAUCAGUCCACGUCAAUAACAGUAACAGCAUUGAGCUAGGAAGUUUUAAAAUGUAAGCAGGGUCUGACAGAGUUCUCCCCUGACAGCUAGCUGGGAGGGGGAGAGAUUUCAGGAGCAAACUGUAUCUAUAUGAACCCAUCUACUCUUCCAAGAUAUCCAGCAGAUAGAGCUGUGUUG